AUUGAACGCUGGCGGCAGGCCCAACACAUGCAAGUCGGACGGUAGCACAGAGGAGCUUGCUCUUCGGGUGACGAGUGGCGGACGGGUGAGUAAUGUCUGGGGAUCUGCCCGAUAGAGGGGGAUAACCACUGGAAACGGUGGCUAAUACCGCAUAACGUCGCAAGACCAAAGAGGGGGACCUUCGGGCCUCUCACUAUCGGAUGAACCCAGAUGGGAUUAGCUAGUAGGCGGGGUAACGGCCCACCUAGUCGACGAUCCCUAGCUGGUCUGGGAGGAUGACCAGCCACACGGGAACUGAGACACGGGCCAGCCUCCUACGGGAGGCAGCAGUGGGGAAUAUUGCACAAUGGGAGCAAGCCUGAUGCAGCCAUGCCGGGUGUAUGAAGAAGGCCUUCGGGUUGUAAAGUACUUUCAGCGGGGAGGAAGGCGAUGUGGUUAAUAACCGCGUCGAUUGACGUUACCCGCAGAAGAAGCACCGGCUAACUCCGUGCCAGCCGCCGCCGUAA
rnacentral:rRNA from 1 species